UACAGAGGUCUCAAGCGUUGUUCGGAUUCAUUGGGCGUAAAGGGUGCGUAGGCGGCGCGGUAAGUCGGGUGUGAAAUCUCGGAGCUUAACUCCGAAACUGCAUUCGGUACUGCCGUGCUUGAGGACUGGAGAGGAGACUGGAAUUUACGGUGUAGCGGUGAAAUGCGUAGAUAUCGUAAGGAAGACCAGUGGCGAAGGCGGGUCUCUGGACAGUUCCUGACGCUGAGGCGCGAAGGUCAGGGGAGCAAACGGG
rnacentral:rRNA from 1 species